AUUGAACGCUGGCGGCAGGCCUAACACAUGCAAGUCGAACGAGUGGCGGACGGGUGAGUAAUGUCUGGGAAACUGCCUGAUGGAGGGGGAUAACUACUGGAAACGGUAGCUAAUACCGCAUACCAUCAGAUGUGCCCAGAUGGGAUUAGCUUGUUGGUGGGGUAACGGCUCAACAGGGCGCCGAUCCCUAUCUGGUCUGAGAGGAUGACCAUCCCCACUGGAACUGAGACACGGUCCAGACUCCUACGGACGGCAGCAGUGGGGAAGAUGUCAAAAUGGGUGCAAGCCUGAUGCAGCCAUGCCGCGUGUAUGAAGAAGGCUUUCGGGUUGUAAAGUACUUUCAGCGGGUAGGCGUUACCCGCAGAAGAAGCACAGGCUAACUCCGUGCCAGCAGCCGAGGUAAUAC
rnacentral:rRNA from 1 species